GGUAAGAUGGCCGAGUGGUCUAAGGCGCCAGCUUCAGGUUCUUCCAAAACUUGCUGGUCCAGAUUUCUGGGCGAGGGUUCGAAUCCCUCUCUUAUCA